UAGUUUCUGCGAUAUUGUGUGAUA
rnacentral:misc_RNA from 1 species